CCAAUAAAAACUAAAAUCUAGCCCAAGUGUCCAAUAAAAAAACACUAACAUAAACUAAAAACCCAACCCAAAUAUAAAAAAUAUAACCCAAACCCAAACCCAAAUUAAUAUUUAUAAAUUUAUAGUCACAACUUUAUAUAAUUUAGUUAUAAUUUUAAUGUAUAUUAUAUAAAUAAUACAUAAAUAAUUUAAUCAAAAACCUAAAUCCUGCUUCAUUUACCAAUUCCCAAAUCUGAAAUUCCUAUCCCAAAGCCUAGCACCAUUUGCACCGCCAUCAGCCCCUCCUCGACUGUCACCUACUACUGCAGGCCACACGACCACACCCGUCCAACGUCCACCACCAGCAAGCAAUUGAAAGCAAAGUAGCAAGGAUAAUGCGGCCAUGGAAGGCAAGAAUUGAAGACAAAGAAGAAAAGGAAAGGAAAGCAAGCUUUAUCACGUAAUAGAAGGUUUGAGUGUUUAAAAGAGAUUUCACAUGCAAGUUGGUUGGAUUAAUUAGGC
rnacentral:lncRNA from 1 species